rnacentral:rRNA from 1 species
GGUUAAGUGACUAAGCGUAUACGGUGGAUGCCUUGGCAGUCAGAGGCGAUGAAGGACGUAGUAACUUGCGAAAAGCGUUGGCGAGCUAGUAACAAGCAUUUGAGCUAACGAUGUCCGAAUGGGGAAACCCGGCCACAUAAGUGGUCAUCAUAACGUGAAUACAUAGCGUUAUGAGGCGAACCUGGGGAACUGAAACAUCUAAGUACCCAGAGGAAAAGAAAUCAACCGAGAUUCCCCUAGUAGCGGCGAGCGAACGGGGAUUAGCCCUUAAGUCUAUGGGGUGUUAGUGGAAUGAGUUGGAAAGCUCAACGGUACAGGGUGAUAGUCCCGUACAUGAAAACUAACCAUAGAUGAAAACGAGUAAGGCGGGACACGUGACAUCCUGUUUGAAUAUGGGGGGACCAUCCUCCAAGGCUAAAUACUCCUGACUGACCGAUAGUGAACCAGUACCGUGAGGGAAAGGCGAAAAGAACCCCUGUGAGGGGAGUGAAAUAGAACCUGAAACCGUGUACGUACAAGCAGUGGGAGCGGUUCUUGAGACCGUGACUGCGUACCUUUUGUAUAAUGGGUCAGCGACUUACGUUUUGUAGCGAGGUUAAGCGAAUAGCGGAGCCGUAGGGAAACCGAGUGUUAACUGCGCGUUUAGUUGCAAGGCGUAGACCCGAAACCGAGUGAUCUAGCCAUGGGCAGGUUGAAGGUUGAGUAACAUCAACUGGAGGACCGAACCGACUAAUGUUGAAAAAUUAGCGGAUGACUUGUGGCUGGGGGUGAAAGGCCAAUCAAACUCGGAGAUAUCUGGUUCUCCUCGAAAGCUAUUUAGGUAGCGCCUCGAGCGAAUACCACUGGGGGUAGAGCACUGUUAAGGCUAGGGGGUCAUCCCGACUUACCAACCCUUUGCAAACUCCGAAUACCAGUGAGUACUACUCGGGAGACAGACGGCGGGUGCUAACGUCCGUCGUCAAAAGGGAAACAACCCAGACCAUCAGCUAAGGUCCCAAAGUUAUUGCUAAGUGGGAAACGAUGUGGGAAGGCUUAGACAGCUAGGAUGUUGGCUUAGAAGCAGCCAUCAUUUAAAGAAAGCGUAAUAGCUCACUAGUCGAGUCGGCCUGCGCGGAAGAUUUAACGGGGCUAAGCAAUACACCGAAGCUAUGGGUUUGCUCUUAUGAGCAAGCGGUAGAGGAGCGUUCUGUAAGCGGUUGAAGGUGAAGGGGUAACCCACACUGGACGUAUCAGAAGUGCGAAUGCUGACAUGAGUAACGAUAAAGGGAGUGAAAAACUCCCUCGCCGAAAGACCAAGGGUUCCUGUCCAACGUUAAUCGGGGCAGGGUGAGUCGACCCCUAAGGCGAGGCCGAAAGGCGUAGUCGAUGGGAAACGGGUCAAUAUUCCCGUACUUCUGCUAACUGCGAUGGAGAGACGGAGAAGGCUAGGCUAGCGCGGCGUUGGUAGUCCGCGUUUAAGGUUGUAGGCUGUAAACUUAGGCAAAUCCGGGUUUACAUUAGGCUGAGAGCUGAUGACGAGUCACUAAGGUGAUGAAGUAGUUGAUGCCAUGCUUCCAGGAAAAUCUUCUAAGCUUCAGGUUAGUAG